GGACUACACGGGUAUCUAAUCCUGUUUGCUCCCCACGCUUUCGUGUCUCAGCGUCAGUACUCGUCCAGUUGGCCGCCUUCGCCGCCGGUGUUCCUCUCGAUAUCUACGAAUUUCACCUCUACACCGAGAAUUCCACCAACCUCUCCGGUACUCUAGCCGUGCAGUAUCGGGUGCCCUUCCCGGGUUGAGCCCGGGGCUUUCACAUCCGACUUGCUCGGCCGCCUACACACGCUUUACGCCCAGUAAUUCCGAACAACGUUUGCACCCUCUGUCUUACCGCGGCGGCUGGCAC
rnacentral:rRNA from 1 species